rnacentral:lncRNA from 1 species
GCAAAAAGUGUGCAUAAGUGAGGCGCGGGGGAGGCCCAGCCCAGCUCAGCUCCAAUUGUAAGAGAAGAAAUGAGGGGGCUGAAGCUUUUGAAUAAGUGUUCCAUUCUAAUAGCGCAUAACAGCGGCAGCUGCACUUACAGUAAUACUGGCCUAUUCAACCAGAACCCAAUAAGUUUAAAUGGCCCGGUAGUUACAGUAGUUUUGCCCCAUUAUGCUGCAGAUCAUUUUGAAUCCUACCAAUUAAGGGGAAGAAAAAAACCCUACGUAUGUCCCAAUAGCCUGAAUGAUGGAGAUUCUGAAUAGGCGAGACUGAUGGCCGCUGACUAUUGUAAGGAACCUCUGGCCAGCCCAUUCGACUGAGCUGCGCUAUGCAUAUGGUGCCUUCAGAGUCAGCCAUUUGUUUGGAGUUGGAAUUUUCAACACUUUCAAUCAUUUUACAUUCAAAGAGUAGUUUGCCCGCCUGCUUUAUUUUCCAGAGGGGCACAUAGCUUUCCGGGCUGCUGGUUUAUUAUCUGGCAAUUGGUUUCCUGGUCUGUGAGGUGCUAAGCCCCUCCAGGGUUAGGGGCUGGCUUCCUGAGCUUUGCUGUCCCAGCUCGGCUCAGACCAGGCCUCCUCUUAUUCCAACUGGGUCGAUCUUCUGUCUUCUAGUUUUCUGCCCUCAUGAGAAGCCGCGGUUCCUGUGUAUUCUCAGCCCACGGUAAUCACCUCCCCAACCAUAACACCCUCCCUGACUUUCUUCUCACUGAGCUCGCCUUGACCUUGCCCUGUUCAACUCCAGAGGCUGCCCUCAUUCUUCCCAUACUGGAUGCUUUGUGUCUCCUGACGUGCUGGGUCCUCCCCUCUGCGCCCUCCACACCCUGACUCGCUCGUGCUUCGCUGCCAGCCUCUCUGACCACUUCUUCUCAAUCUCCUUCCGCACUUUCUUUUCCUUGCCUGCGCCACGAGAGUGAGAGCUUCUCAGAGCCCCAUCCUCAGUGAGCUUCCAGCUACUCACUGACAACUCUAGCCGCAACCUCCCUCCUGAACUGGAAACUAAGUCCAGUAAAACAAUACAUUCUGAAAGCUGUACCAGUUCUCUCUGAAACAACCUACACCAAGUCAACUGCGUCUUCCACCUGACAAUUCUUCAUUUUCCAGGCUUAGCAUGCCCUGGAAUUUCAACCACUUCCUGUAGGGGAUGGCUCAGGAGCACUUUAUCUUCUUGGUCUCCAUUCCCUGAAUUCUCUCUGAUUUUAUGCCCAGCUUCCAAUGGAACCUUUAGAAGUUUGUCAGGGAGUGAAACCCUCAGCCUCCUUACUUGUCUCUCACUUGGUAGUGACUCCAGUGCCCACACACAUCUUCGAUUCCAGCCUUUAAGUGAUCCAUCAGCUGCCAAACAAACACAAGAAAAUGAUUGCUGGAGAAACGCGAACUCUGAAAGACACACAGGACAACUAAGACACUUUAAAAAACAAAGGAGCCUUUAAUUUUCUGGAGCCUAUCUGACUUUCUAUCACUGUGUUCAUGUAAUAAAAUAUUUGGUGCCUUUCAUAGUAAUUUCAUAGUAAUUUCAACUUUGGUUUAAAGACUCUGUAGAUAAGUUUCUUCAUAAUUCACAUAAUACGUAAUGAAAACAGGGCACCUGGCAUUUGCUUUGGAUAAUACUUUUCUAGAAUGAUCUAGGAAAUUUCUCAUUACUGAA